rnacentral:rRNA from 1 species
UACAGAGGGUGCGAGCGUUGUCCGGAAUCACUGGGCGUAAAGGGCGCGUAGGCGGCUCGGUAAGGUUGCGGUGAAAGCCCGGGGCUCAACCCCGGGUCGGCCGUGGCAACUGCUGAGCUGGAGCACUGUAGAGGCAGGUGGAAUUCCGGGUGUAGCGGUGGAAUGCGUAGAGAUGUGGAGGAACACCGAUGGCGGAAGGCAGCCUCCUGGGCCAGCACUGACGCUCAUGCACGAAAGCGUGGGGAGCAAACAGG